rnacentral:rRNA from 1 species
CAACGGCAAGUAGCAAUACUGUGGGUGGCGAGUGGCGGACGGGUGAGGAAUACAUCGGGAUCUACCCUGUUGUGGGGGAUAACGUAGGGAAACUUGCGCUAAUACCGCAUAAGAACUGAGGUUGAAAGCGGCGGACCGCAAGGCGUCGCGCGAUUGGAUGAACCGAUGUCCGAUUAGCUAGUUGGCGGGGUAAAGGCCCACCAAGGCGACGAUCGGUAGCUGGUCUGAGAGGACGACCAGCCACACUAGAACUGAGACACGGUCCAGACUCCUACGGGAGGCAGCAGUGGGGAAUAUUGGACAAUGGGCGCAAGCCUGAUCCAGCCAUGCCGCGUGGGUGAAGAAGGCCUUCGGGUUGUAAAGCCCUUUUGUCCGGAAAGAAAAGCUCGUGGUUAAUACCCGCGGGUUCUGACGGUACCGGAAGAAUAAGCACCGGCUAACUUCGUGCCAGCAGCCGCGGUAAUACGAAGGGUGCAAGCGUUACUCGGAAUUACUGGGCGUAAAGCGUGCGUAGGUGGUGCGUUAAGUCUGUCGUGAAAUCCCCGGGCUCAACCUGGGAAUGGCGAUGGAUACUGGCGCGCUAGAGUGCGGUAGAGGAGAGUGGAAUUCCCGGUGUAGCAGUGAAAUGCGUAGAGAUCGGGAGGAACAUCAGUUGCGAAGGCGGCUCUCUGGACCAGCACUGACACU